rnacentral:rRNA from 1 species
UGAAUACGAGAUGCUACGGCGUCGAAGCAGUGUAUGUCAGACUUCCAAGAAAAGCUCGCAAUGUCAUAAAUAAAGAAUGCCUGUACCAUAACCGACACAGGUGGGUAGGUAGAGUAUACUAAGGGGCGCGAGAUAACUCUCUCUAAGGAACUCGGCAAAAUAACUCCGUAGCUUCGGGAGAAGGAGUGCCUUCUUUAAGAAGGCUGCAAUAACAAGAUCCAAGCAACUGUUUAUCAAAAACACAGGUCUCCGCUAAGUCGUAAGACGAUGUAUGGGGGCUGACGCCUGCCCAGUGCCAGAAGGUUAAAGAAGUUGGUUAGCUUUUGCGAAGCUGAUGACUGAAGCCCUGGUGAACGGCGGCCGUAACAAUAACGGUCCUAAGGUAGCGAAAUUCCUUGUCGGGUAAGUUCCGACCCGCACGGAAGGCGUAAUGAUUUGGAUACUGUCUCGGAGAGGGACUCGGUGAAAUAGACUUGUCUGUGAAGAUGCGGACUACCUGCACCAGGACAGAAAGACCCUAUGAAGCUUUACUGUAACUUGAAAUUGAAAUUGGACUUUAUUUGCGCAGUAUAGGUGGAAGGCGUUGAAAGUAAUCUUGCGGGAUUAGUGGAGCCAUCAGUGAGAUACCACUCCUAUAAUGCUAGAUUUCUAACUUUGGAUCAUGAUCUGGUCAAAGAACAGUUUCAGGCGGGCAGUUUGACUGGGGCGGUCGCCUCCCAAAUGGUAACGGAGGCGUACAAAGGUUUCCUCUGAACGGGUAGAAAUCGUAUCUAGAGUGUAAAGGCAUAAGGAAGCUUGACUGUGAGACCUACAAGUCGAGCAGGGACGAAAGUCGGUCUUAGUGAUCUGACGGUGCUGAGUGGAAAGGCCGUCACUCAACGGAUAAAAGUUACUCUAGGGAUAACAGGCUGAUCUCCCCCAAGAGUUCACAUCGACGGGGAGGUUUGGCACCUCGAUGUCGGCUCAUCGCAUCCUGGGGCGGUAGUACGUCCCAAGGGUUGGGCUGUUCGCCCAUGAAAGCGGUACGCGAGCUGGGUUCAGAACGUCGUGAAACAGUUCGGUCCAUAUCCGGUGUAGGCGUUAGAAUAUUGAGAGGAGCCUUCUUUAGUACGAGAGGACCGAGAAGGACAUACCACUGGUGUACCAGUUAUCGUGCCAACGGUAAACGCUGGGUAGCUAUGUAUGGAGAGGAUAACCGCUGAAAGCAUCUAAGUGGGAAGCCCACCUCAAGAUGAG